AACGAACGCUGGCGGCAUGCCUAACACAUGCAAGUCGAACGAGACCUUCGGGUCUAGUGGCGCACGGGUGCGUAACGCGUGGGAACCUGCCCUUAGGUUCGGAAUACCUCCCCGAAAGGGGUGCUAAUACCGGAUAAUGUCUUCGGACCAAAGAUUUAUCGCCUUUGGAUGGGCCCGCGUUGGAUUAGCUAGUUGGUAGGGUAAAAGCCUACCAAGGCGACGAUCCAUAGCUGGUCUGAGAGGAUGAUCAGCCACACUGGGACUGAGACACGGCCCAGACUCCUACGGGAGGCAGGAGUGGGGAAUAUUGGACAAUGGGCGAAAGCCUGAUCCAGCAAUGCCGCGUGAGUGAUGAAGGCCUUAGGGUUGUAAAGCUCUUUUACCCGGGAUGAUAAUGACAGUACCGGGAGAAUAAGCUCCGGCUAACUCCGUG
rnacentral:rRNA from 1 species